AAAUGCACCUAACUUUCCGUAAUUGAUUGUUUUCCCCCAAUUCAUUUGCCCUAAUUGAGCUCUUACACUGCUCCAGCUCCACUGAUUCGCGGAAGGGAGAUUCGUCGUGAAAUUGCGCGCUCAAUCUCUUCGUCGGAAUCAAAGAACUGCAUUAAUGGUUAACAAUUCCUCUCGAAGUUUCUUUCAAUGAAAGAGUAAAAGGAUUAUUUCCGUGUUUAGGAAGGAUGACGUAAGAAGCUCGCUUGCAGUGCUGGCUAUUCUCUAUUAAAAAUGUGAUCUUUAAUGGCCGACAAAAGAAAGGACGAAGACUACACCUUUAUUUAAUCAUUUAUUACUAAUUAGUCCCUCUUUUUUCUCUUUUCCUCCUUUGACCAAUCAUCUUAGAUAUUCUUCAUUUACAGUAUCUAUCUCUAUUUCAGUUUAGGAAAAUAAUAAUAAUACAACUUCUUAAAUAGAGUGUAUACAAAUUAAAUCGACCCGAACGAAUGUAUAUUAUUCACGUUUGUUUGAGUUUUUAUCGAGUUUUAAUAUUGUAAUUUGAACUUUAUUCGAGGCAAUACAAAUCGAAUUCAAUUAGUUUGAUUUUA